rnacentral:rRNA from 1 species
GUAGGUGGCAAGCGUUGUCCGGAAUUAUUGGGCGUAAAGCGCGCGCAGGCGGUUCUUUAAGUCUGAUGUGAAAGCCCACGGCUCAACCGUGGAGGGUCAUUGGAAACUGGAGAACUUGAGUACAGAAGAGGAAAGCGGAAUUCCACGUGUAGCGGUGAAAUGCGUAGAGAUGUGGAGGAACACCAUUGGCGAAGGCGGCUUUCUGGUCUGUAACUGACGCUGAGGCGCGAAAGCGUGGGGAGCAAACAGGAUUAGAUACCCUGGUAGUCCACGCCGUAAACGAUGAGUGCUAAGUGUUAGGGGGUUUCCGCCCCCCUUAGUGCUGCAGCUAACGCAUUAAGCACUCCGCCUGGGAGUACGGCCGCAAGGCUG